GCUUGUUCUGCUCAUUGAGAGAAAUUGGCUCUUGAUUUGGAUUGAUGGCAAAUUUUGUUAUCGAACACAACUAAAUAUUUUCUGAAAAAUUAACCGAACAAACCCAAUGGCAAACAUUGUAUUGGCGAGUUGUAAAGCUUUUAUGCGAUAUUUAAAUAUAAAUAAAAAGCAUUGCAUACAUUUUAAUUUGUUAGAUUAAAAAGAGACAAGUAUAAAAGAAUAUAUGGAAUGGAAGUGUAAUUAGGUUUUUUUUAAACUUUGUUUCAACAUUUCUGUAUUAUGGCCAUCAACAAAAUCAGUAUAUAAAAGGAAAUUAAAAGCGAUACCAGAUUUUUACUAGAAAUAGACACAUUGGGCAAUUCAACGAGGUAUUCAUAAGCAAAUAAAACAAUUUUCCGGUUUCUCUAAUUACCAGUAAAUACUGGAGCACUUUAAGUGGCCUAAGCAAAUGUGGUGAACACUUUAAAGGAAAAAUAGAUAAUAGAAAUAAUAGAAAAAUUCUGUAGCUUAUUUUGAUAAGAUUUACAAACAUAAUUUAAUGGUUCCAAUUUAUAAUUUAAAACGCACCGCUCCCAAUGCACUUCACACAACACAUUGAUAUUAUGACGCACUCGUUUGAACAGCUGGGUGGCAAAAUAAAGAAGCAAAAGUAACGGACCUACAUAAACGCCAUCUCCAAAGAAGGUUAAAUACAAGGCGAAUUCAUAUAAAGUGAUUUUGAGGUGGUUUGAAUGUCAAACAGGUCUGUUUUUUUUUUUGUUGUUGUUUUGGUUGUUUGUGUACAUUCGACCAUUGUACAGAUUUAUAAGUAAAAACAUUCUCAGCUGGUUGUCGAAAAAUAUCCACAGGUGAAAUCACCUGAUUCCAAAACGCUCUUCUAUGUAAUAUGGCUGCAUAAAAAAUGAUUAACGUGCAUAUAAAGCUGUACCAAAAAGUCCAAAAAAUUACGUAAAAAUCCAAAUAUCUCUCAAUAAAGAAUCAUUAUUAAAUAUUGGGUUAGCAACUAAGUAAUUGCGGAUUUCACUCAUAGAUGGCUACAAUUGAGUUUUUAGGUUUGCAGACGUAGUACAAAUGUAAAACACAUUUUGUUAUUUGGUAAUUGGUAAUUCGGCUGUCAAUCAGUAAAAAAUUUGAUCGGUUGCGUAGUUUUCGUUGGCGUUCGUUGAAAAAUGGAAAAUCAAAAGGAACAUUUACGUCAUAUUUUGCUUUUUUUAUUUCCGCAAAGGGAAAACCGCAUUUCAAGCUCAUAAAAAGUUAUGUGCUGCUUAUGGUGACGAAGCCUUAAAAGAACGGCAGUCCAGUUGAAGUUGAUGACGCCCUAAUCAAAGCAAUAAUCGAUUCGGAUCGUCACAGUACAACACGUGAGUUUGCGAAGAAGCUUCAUGUAUCACAUACAUGCAUUGAAAAUCGCUUACAACAACUUGGCUAUGUUCAAAAAAUGGGCAAUACAUUAAAGAAUAAAGUUAUUUAGUUCCAUGAAAAAAUUGUUCUUAAUUUUCUAAAAAAAAAUCCGCAAUUACUUAGUUGCCAACCCAAUAUACAAAAUAUUUGUUUUUGUGAGUUUUUCAAGUCAAAGAUAUUAUUAUUUUUUUUUUUUUGUGGGCAUUCUAUGGUUUUUAAUGUUACCAUAAAAAGUCUAAUUUGGUAUACCAACCCUGCCAAUACGCUCAAGCAGAAAAUCCAAGCAAUCAUCCCAUCACAUAAUUGACUGCCUGUCAAACAUACACCGAGGGUGCCUGUCAGAAUAUAAGAAGAAGAAGAGUGUUUUACUGAUAUUUUCGUGCUAUGCAUUGGGAUUGAGAUUAUGGCAUUCAAUCCACCAAAUUGCAAAAACAAAUUACAUUUGCGUUUUGUAUUUGUACCACUGCUAUCAUCUAGAAAUAAAACGACACUUACUAACAUCACUCAGCUGUUUUCAAUACUGUGGUAUAUUUUGCACCACUGCUCUUCAAAAAUGUUGC